GCUUAUUGCUCAAAAUCCCAAGAGUGUCACUUGGCUUCUGAAGUGGAUUAUCAGAGUAUAGAAAUGAAGUGAAGCAUUUUGACAACUAAAAGAAAUUGAAACUGGAAAGUCUUUUUAUACCAUACAAGAUAUGGCCGGGACUGUACAAAGCUACCUUAUGUGGCACCGGCUGACAUUGUUGGACGACGGAGAGACCGUCCAGGGGAGUGACCGUGGACUGAGCGAUCCUACAGUUUUUGUCCUUCCGGUGACAGUUAUUCCAAACGCGGCUGUUCAACUUCACUUUUCAUGCGUCUACAAAAGUUUUUGAGGGACAAAAGUACCCUCAUCCCUUUAGUGGAAUUUCAGGCGUGCCCUUAUAUGCACUUCUCAUCUUCUCCAUAUUCCCUCCAAAUUUUUGAGGGACAAAAGGCCCAAUUCACCGAGUGCAAAGAGACAGAGAGAGCUUUACUCUCUAGCCGCCAUUUCCUUCCCCGAGUACAUAGAAGAUAAACCCUCCAGUUUGCCUUUGAGCUUGUUUGAUCAGAUAGUGCCAGGAGAUGUGGUUCUUGAUCUCUCUACCAUGACAAACCAGACUAUCAAGCUUGGUGGCGGCCUCCGACGGGAUUCUCUUUGAGGUUUUUGAUUGACUCUGAUGCUAUCUCUGUCAUGAACGCUGGGAAACUGAGGUUCUCAAAGCCAAACAAAUACUGGGUGGAAAGCUCCCAGAAGAGGAACUUUCUCAUAGACAUAAAAGGACCUGCCCUGGCAUUUUUGCCUGUGCUUGCAUUUGGGAGAGGUACAAGGAGAAAUAUACCAAAAUUUGAGGUACUAUGUAGAGUACUACAUAGUCAUUAAUCACAAAGAUAAUGUACUGUAUUUACUAAUUUUGUAAUUUAUGAUGAGAAUUAUCAAAUAGUUUCUGUUCUGAUGAUAAUAUGAACAUUGAAUCUAGAGGUCCUUUAAUAAUCACAUCUCAUUUCACUA